rnacentral:rRNA from 1 species
UUAAUAUAAAGCUUACUGUUUAGUUUUUGUUUGGGUGUUGUUUAUUUAAUAAAAUCAUUUUUAUUUUGAAUUAGUUUAAGUAUAGGAUAUAGAAAUAAUUUUUAGUGUUGUAGUUUAAUUGUAUUGUGAAAGGUUGAUGAAAUAUUUUGAAAAUAUAUUUUUGUUAAAGUAGAUUUAAUUUAUUGUACCUUGUGUAUCAGGGUUUAUUAAAAAUGUUAUAUGUAUUUAUGAUUCCCGAUUUAAAGGGGGCUAAUUAAUUAUGAUAGUUAAUGUGGAAUAAUUAUUAUGGAUAAUUAAUUAGUAAUGAAACGUUAUUCGUUCUUUAAGAUAUCUGGUUUUUUAAGAGAUGAAUUUAAUUCAGGUUUAAAUAUUGGGGGAUUCAAUUGUGUUGAUGGGUACUAAUUUUAAACUAAUAUUUGUAGGGAUGAGCUUAUGAAUAUAAUUUAAAAAUUUAUUUUUAGGGAGAAGUUCUGUAGGCUUAGAAUUUGCCACCAGUAAAGGAUGUUAUAAUUUAACUUUUUUUAAAAUUAAUUUUUAUAUAAGAUUUAAAUAGUUUAUUAAAAUGUUGUACUUAAUCCUGAAGUACUAGAAAUAAUGAUAAAAUUAGUAUAUUGUUGAAACUGUAAGAUAUUUUGUGAUUGUGAGGUUGCAUAAAGGAAUUCGGCAAAUUAAUACUCGCCUGUUUAACAAAAACAUGUCCUCUUGUUUAAUGAUUUGAGGUCUGACCUGCCCACUGAGGAUUAACCUUGAAGGGCCGCGGUAUUUUGACCGUGCAAAGGUAGCAUAAUCAUUAGUCUUUUAAUUGAAGGCUAGAAUGAAUGGUUGGACGAGGUAUUGACUGUCUCUGUGUAAGUGAUAUUAGAAUUUAACUUUUGAGUGAAAAGGCUUAAAUGUAUUUGGAGGACGAGAAGACCCUAUAGAGCUUUAUAUUUUUUUAUUUAUAGUUGAUUUGGUUGUUUUCUUAUUAUAGGUAAAAAGGUAUUUUGUUGGGGUGACAGGAAGAUAAAAUUAACUCUUUUUAAUUAAGAACAUUUAUUUAUGGUUUAUUGAUCCAUUUUUAGUGAUUAAAAGACUAAGUUACCUUAGGGAUAACAGCGUAAUCUUUUUCGAGAGUUCUUAUCGACAAAAAGGGUUGCGACCUCGAUGUUGGAUUAAGGGUAAUUUUGGGUGUAGAUGUUCAAAGUUUAGGUCUGUUCGACCUUUAAAUCCUUACAUGAUCUGAGUUCAGACCGGUGUAAGCCAGGUCGGUUUCUAUCCUUAAAUUAUUUUAAUGUUUUAGUACGAAAGGACCAGGCAUUAGGAAUAUUUUCUUAAUAUUUUGAUUAAUAAUAAUUAUUUGAAUAAUAGUAU